GUGAAUAGCCAGGACCAUCUUCACGCUUCGAUUUUGCUGCCAAGGAAAGUUUUCUAUUAGUGUGUGAAAACUGUUAUAUCAGCUACAGAGAUUUUACUCAUUAUUAUUAUGUGAAUAUUGAAAGAUUAGUCACUUUUGCCCAAAAUCACAGGCUAAUUAAAAGUGAACAAAUUUGCCCGACAUGUCAGUCAGUGUCGUCUUGAUUACAACAAAAAAUUUGCCUUUCGGUGUGAUAAAAUACGGGAGACACAAGAAACAUUUUGUAGGGUAUUUAGCAGUGUUUUAUUUUAAACUACAGAUACAAGACCCUUUACGAAGGCUACACGCUUUUGCCAAAGCUACUGCUGCAUUGUAUCCUCCACUCUUAAGGUAGUACACUUCGUUUUCAUCUUUACAUCAUUCCAAGACAGAACUUGAUCCUGGUCCACUAGUACUUGCCCCUUUUUGUUCUACUAAUUAAGAACCAGCAAGAAGAAUAUCGAAAAACAAGGAGUAAUCUCCAGAUUACCAAUUUCUUCCCGAGAGUCAAGGAUUGCUUUUGGGAAGCUAGAAGUCAAGGACUUGCCUUCCCUACGGUAUAUUCGCAUAAUUGAUUAUAUGAAAUUUAGGCCGUAGCAUCAAGCACUGGACUUUCUUUUGGGCAUUCGGCACUGAGAUAGUGGAAAAAAAAAAAAAAAAAAGAGUUGGAGUCAUUAGAGAGCAAGAUGAAGAGAUCCAGGAAAUAAAAAAGGAAGCUGGAAUUGAGGUGGAGCUGUCGCCCCCAGUCAACAAGAUCAACAAGGACGGCAGCACAUAACAUCGUGAAUUUCACUCCUGGACCAACACAGGAGGCACAAAGGGCAGACUUUCUAGAAAAAGCAAAGAUGUUGAUGAACGAUGAAAUUAUUCAAGAAAUAGUACAGUGUACUAACAAAAGGAUCGAAGCUGAAGCUACACAUUAUCAAAAGCAGAGAUCAACAAUCGGCCAAACGGAACCAAAUGAGGUGAAGGCUCUUCUUGGUAUAUAUUGAUCUUGAGUGGUUGUCAGAGAAAUGUGGAAUCCUCAGACUGGAUCUUACCGGGCUGCUAUGUCAGAAGAUUGGCUCAAUUUUCUUCUUAAUUGCUUAAGAUUUGAUGACCCAACUACAAGACAGGCAAGACGAGCACAUGAUAAAUUUGCCUCAAUAAGGAAGGUUUGGGAAACAUUUAUCAAGAACAGUGAGAGGAUGUAUGUCCCUACUGAACAUUUAACUAUAGAUGGGGUUAUUUUGGUUCAAAAAUAACCACAAAAAAUUAUGGAAAGUAUCACAGUGAAAACCAGUAUUUUUUACUUUCAAAAAAAUAACCUUUUUUUGAUGUUCUCCCCUACGGCUCAUAAUGGUUAAGUAAGGUUGGAACUUCUAGAGCUGAGCUCCAUAAUACUUGAGAGUGAAUGUAGCAACACAGAAAUGUUCAGGAUAAAAAAAAAAAUAUAUAUAUAUUU